UCCAGUGGAGGGAAAACUGCAUGAGUUCCGAAGCCUCCAGAAGAUUUCAUCCAACUUUUAUUCCGACACGUCCAUGUCGUGCAGGGUGGUAACAUGUACCCUCAUGGAAAGCUCAUGGCUAAGGAGGAAGGG
rnacentral:ribozyme from 1 species